rnacentral:rRNA from 1 species
AGAGUUUGAUUAUGGCUCAGGACGAACGCUGGCGGCGUGCUUAACACAUGCAAGUCAAGGGAGAAAAAGGCAGCAAUGCUUUGAGUAAACCGGCAGACGGGUGCGUAACACGUAGGCAACCUUCCUUGUUGACUGGAAUAACCCCGAGAAAUCGGGAUUAAUACCAGAUAAUAUUGUUUUUUGGCAUUAAGAAACAAUCAAAGCUCCAAAAGAGCGCGGCAAGAUGGGCCUGCGUCCGAUUAGCUAGUUGGCGAGGUAAUGGCUCACCAAGGCAAUGAUCGGUAGCUGGUCUGAGAGGAUGAUCAGCCACACUGGAACUGAGACACGGUCCAGACUCCUACGGGAGGCAGCAGUGAGGAAUAUUGCUCAAUGGACGAAAGUCUGAAGCAGCGACGCCGCGUGAGGGAUGAAAUCCGUUAGGAUGUAAACCUCUUUUGUGGGUGAAGAAUAUAGCGCUAUAGGCGCUAUUGACGGUAGCCCGCGAAUAAGCAUCGGCUAACUACGUGCCAGCAGCCGCGGUAAUACGUAGGAUGCAAGCGUUGUCCGGAAUCACUGGGUGUAAAGGGUCCGCAGGUGGAUUUGUAAGUCUGUGGUGAAAUCUUACGGCUCAACCGUAAAACUGCCACAGAUACUGCCUUUCUAGAGUGUGAAAGAGGAAGAUGGAAUUCAUGGUGUAGCAGUGAAAUGCGUAGAUAUCAUGAAGAACACCGGUAGCGAAGGCGGUCUUCUGGUUCACUACUGACGCUCAUGGACGAAAGCGUGGGGAUCAAACAGGAUUAGAUACCCUGGUAGUCCACGCCCUAAACGAUGGAUACUCGAUGUCAGCUCGCAAGGGUUGGUGUCUAAGCUAACGCAAUAAGUAUCCCACCUGGGGAGUACGAUCGCAAGGUUGAAACUCAAAGGAAUUGACGGGGGCCCGCACAAGCAGUGGAGCAUGUGGUUCAAUUCGAUGCAACGCGAAGAACCUUACCUGGGUUUGAAAGGCAAGAGACAGGCGAUGAAAGUCGCCCUCGUAGCAAUACGUUCUUGUACAGGUGCUGCAUGGCUGUCGUCAGCUCGUGUCGUGAGAUGUUAGGUUAAGUCCUGCAACGAGCGCAACCCCUACGCUUAGUUGCCAACAGGUAAUGCUGGGCACUCUAAGCGGACUGCCUACGCAAGUAGAGAGGAAGGUGGGGAUGACGUCAAGUCCUCAUGGCCCUUACACCCAGGGCCACACACGUGCUACAAUGGCCGCUACAGAGGGUAGCCAAGGCGCAAGCCGGAGCCAAUCCCUUAAAAGCGGUCUCAGUUCGGAUUGGGGUCUGCAACUCGACCCCAUGAAGCUGGAAUUGCUAGUAAUCGCGGAUCAGCACGCCGCGGUGAAUACGUUCCCGGGCCUUGUACACACCGCCCGUCAAGCCAUGGAAACUGGGGGUACCCGAAACCGGCAUUCUAACCGCAAGGAGGAAACCGACUAAGGUAAAACCAGCGACUGGGGCUAAGUCGUAACAAGGUAGC